GUGUCAGCAGCCGCGGUAAUACGAAGGGUGCAAGCGUUACUCGGAAUUACUGGGCGUAAAGCGUGCGUAGGUGGUCGUUUAAGUCCGUUGUGAAAGCCCUGGGCUCAACCUGGGAACUGCAGUGGAUACUGGGCGACUAGAGUGUGGUAGAGGGUAGCGGAAUUCCUGGUGUAGCAGUGAAAUGCGUAGAGAUCAGGAGGAACAUCCAUGGCGAAGGCAGCUACCUGGACCAACACUGACACUGAGGCACGAAAGCGUGGGGAGCAAACAGGAUUAGAUACCCUGGUAGUCCACGCCCUAAACGAUGCGAACUGGAUGUUGGGUGCAAUUUGGCACGCAGUAUCGAAGCUAACGCGUUAAGUUCGCCGCCUGGGGAGUACGGUCGCAAGACUGAA
rnacentral:rRNA from 1 species